GAUCCUGGCUCCGGAUGAACGCUGGCGGCGUGCUUAACACAUGCAAGUCGAGCGAAGCGCUUUUGCGGAUUUCUUCGGAUUGAAGCAACUGUGACUGAGCGGCGGACGGGUGAGUAACGCGUGGGUAACCUACCUCAUACAGGGGGAUAACAGUUGGAAACGGCUGCUAAUACCGCAUAAGCGCACAGUACCGCAUGGUACCGCGUGAAAAACUCCGGUGGUAUGAGAUGGACCCGCGU
rnacentral:rRNA from 1 species